UUACCUCCCACUGGAUCCAGAAGUUGAAAAAGGUCUAAAGCCUAUUUAUGAAGAUUUAUCUGGGCAUGAAUUGCUUGAUAGAUGCAAAGCACCUUCAUAAUGGAUUGAAAACUAUUGAAUUAGCAAAUUUUUUUGCAACUUCAAUAUUCAAUGACGGUUACUCCUCAAUUUUAAAGAUAUUUAAUGUAAUGGGAGUAAAAGUUGGACCUGCAGCAAGAGAUUAUACGGCUCUUAAGGACGAGACGAGAUUACGAAUCGCUGAUCAUCGCCAACGGGCUUGUUCAAAAGAGGGUCGAUCAUCUCGAAGAAGAGCUUCUUCAGCUCAACAAGCAGUUUUUGAGGAAGAGGAAGGUGAAUUAUAUGGGUCUGGAAUAGCAGAUUAGCUGUUUUAUCAACGGAGAAGGCUGCAAUCACUCCAGCAGUGGAGGACCUUGUUUUUUUGGCGCCGCCGGAGAUCGCGUGUCAUUUCGAAACUAUUUAAUAUUUUAUUUCAAAAAUUUUACUGUGUACUCUCAAAACAUGUAUAAAUAUACCCUCAAAAUUUUAAAUAGAUGGAUUCACUAGU